rnacentral:rRNA from 1 species
UACGUAGGUGGCAAGCGUUGUCCGGAUUUACUGGGCGUAAAGAGCGCGCAGGCGGUCGUUCAAGUCGCGUGUGAAAGCCCCCGGCUCAACUGGGGAGGGUCACGCGAUACUGAUCGACUCGAAGGCAGGAGAGGGUAGUGGAAUUCCCGGUGUAGUGGUGAAAUGCGUAGAUAUCGAGAGGAACACUAGUGGCGAAGGCGAGACUCUGGACAGUUUCUGACACUGAUGCACGAAGGUCAGGGGAGCAAACGGG